UACAGAGGUCCCGAGCGUUGUUCGGAUUCACUGGGCGUAAAGGGUGCGCAGGUGGGCUGGUAAGUUCGAUGUGAAAGCCCCGGGCUUAACCCGGGAACGGCAUUGGAUACUACUGGUCUGGAGGAUUGGAGGGGGACUGGAAUUCUUGGUGUAGCAGUGAAAUGCGUAGAUAUCAAGAGGAACACCAGUGGCGAAGGCGAGUCCCUGGACAAUACCUGACACUGAGGCACGAAAGCCGGGGGAGCAAACAGG
rnacentral:rRNA from 1 species